GUAAUAUCAGCAGACCCCAAGCAAGUUUUAUCUAACUAGCAUGGAUACCAGCGGCACGUGAAGGGCGUGCAAGUCUCAGGAGCUGCCCUCACAGAUACUGGCAGCAACCCAGGCAAAUGCCCAGUUUAGAGUGGAGGUGGCUGCUGCCAAACAUUUUAAAUGCAGAAAUAAAAUCAAGUUAUUUAUCCCACAUUAUUUACAGUAAUAGAGGGCUGUUGAACAGCAUCUAAGUGCAGUACAAUAUAAUCAAUACAGAUUAUUAAAAGCAGAAAUAAAGACCAGCCAGCCUGAGGAAGCUACCAAUCAGAACAAAAGGAUCUAGCAAGAGGGCAAACUGAGCAGUUCUCAGAAAAAGCAACCCUCCAAAGCAAAAGGGGACAAUUCCCAGGUUUGAUCAGGUAAAUCCUGAGCCUUUCACUGAAGCAAGUUGCCCUUGACAUACUGGUUUCAUCGAAGCCUUUAAAGGGAAUUUGGCUCAGCCAGGGCUGAGAUGAGACUUCAGGAUUUAGCUCCCAAAAAUACAGAAGGAAUGUUGAUAUAUUGAAGUAUGCCAAAGUAAGACUUCCAAAAGGAUGAAGAGAAAUUCUAGUGAAAUUAAUUAACUGUAAGUCAUGCCCUAAAGUGACAAGCCUUGUUUUUGCAAAAAUUUUACAACUGAGGACCUGAAAAUGAGAAAUCUCUACUUGGCCUGAUCUCAGCUUUUCAAAACUUUCCUGUCUCUGGAAAAGUUAAAGAACAGAAAGAAGCAAAACACAACUCUGUCAGGGUCCCAAAAACUGGAGGGUCUCAAAAGCCAUUCAGCUGCACGUCCCAGUUCCACUGAUCCCAAAUAAUUGUCCAGAUAAUUGAACUGGAAGUGGUUCGUGUUCCUAUUCAUAACUGCUGGACCCAAAGAAAACAGCCUCAAUGCCACAUUUUCUACAAUCGUGGGGAGAUUGCCUUGGCUCUCACUCAGCUGGCUCAGCUAAUGCAAUUCACAGGCCUUCAAAUAUUUGGAGUCUGGCUCUGCCAUUUAUAGAACAGAUUUUUUUCCUUGAAGUGCUCUCCUGGGACCAGCCAGCAAGGUAUUUUCUGUAGCCUGCUUGAUUGGUCUUCAUUGUGGAGCAAUUUUAGAGGCCUGGCUUUGGACACCAUUUGCAAUGGAUUUAUAUCAGAAGGUCACAUCUUGUUACUGAGUCAUUAUUGAUUCUCCCCCUUGGGACUGUUGCAGGCCUGUGACUUUACCCUUCACAGGUAGAUUCUAACACGUCUUUUAGACAUCCAUGCGGAAAGGCAGGAGCAUGUUGCACUAACUCCUUGGGCAGAAAGCAGCAGUGAGGUGGAGGAGGGGAAAGGACCAGCAGAAAUUCUGCCUUCAGCAAAUUUAUUAAUUUUCACUGAUUUACUUAUCAGGGAAAAGAUUG
rnacentral:lncRNA from 1 species